GUCGCUUUGACUGAGUGGUUAAAGCGUCGCCCUGCUGCCUCCGCAGAUCAGGCAGUCCCUUCGGGGUCACCGGUUCGAAUCCUGCAGGCGACG